rnacentral:lncRNA from 1 species
AACUUAUUAAAAAGAGUUUUAUUUAGCACUUGGUUCUGUUGGCUGGGAAAUUCAGGAUCAGGCAGCUGUAUCUGGUGGGUUCUCAUGACUGCCUCAUGCUGCAUCAAAACAUCGUAGAGAAACAGAAGGGGACCGAGUUUGUGCAAACAAAAAGCGCAAAAUAGAAGAGGCAGCAUUGUUUUAUAACAACUCACUCUCUUGGGAACUAACCAUUCCCAGGAGAACCCAGUCUCAGUGUCAAGAGAAAGAUGUUAAUCCAUCUUAGCAACCUAAUUACCUCUUAAAAGUACCAUCUCCCAACACUAUUACAUUGGCAAUUGAACUACAACAUGAGUUUUGGAGGGGCCAAACAACAUGCAAACCAUAGCAGCAGGUUUAAAGGUAAAAGGAUGGGAGAAAAGUACACAGAAAGAUAUUCUGGAGAAAAGGCACAGAGUGAGCCAAGGCACAAGGUAAAAUGUUUGACUGGUUAGAGACGCUAGAUUAUUUUGUGUGGCUAAGACAAAACAAAGCUGGUGGGGAGUGGCAGGAGGUAAGUCUAGAAUGGCACAAUGGGGCCAGACUGCGAAUGGCAAACAAGUAUGUGAUCUUUUAUUCUAAAGAAAAUGUAGUAUGAUUAGCACACACACACACAAAAAUUAUUGGCCGGGCGCAGUGGCCCAUGCCUGUAAUCCCAGCACUUUGGGAGGCCGAGGAGGGUGGAUCAUGAGGUCAGGAGUUCAAGACGGUGAAACUCCAUCUCUACUAAAAAUACAAAAAUUAGCCAGGAGCUGUGGCAGGUGCCUGUAAUCCCAGCUACUCAGUAGGCUGAGGCAGGAGAAUCACUUGAACCCGGGAGGUGGAGGUUGCAGUGAGCUGAGAUCGCGCCACUGCACUCUAGCCUCGGCGACAGAGCAAGACUAAAAAUAAAAAUGAAAAAAUUAUUAUCCAUGGUAUUAUCAUGGUAGUACUGACUAAAAGAGGGACAUGUGUAACAAAAUCAGUAAGGAGGGUACUCCAAGAAUCCAUGUUAAAGUUAAUGAGGGCUUGAACCCAAACAUAAAGGAUGGAAAUGAUGUAAUAAAAUACCUUUUGAAAGUUAUAUUAAAAAAUUUUUGGUUAAUAGUCUAGUUAGAGGUGAAAGAAGAAAGCAGAGGAGUCUAAUGCAAUGCGUGACUUGUAGCUCAGGUAAAGGGGUGGCAGGUGACGCUUAAAUACUAGAAAUAUAAGAAGCAGCACAGGUUUGGUUUUAUCUUUGAGAACAAUGGAGUGGAGGUAUGCUUUAGAUGCAAUUAUUUAUGGGAUAUUCAAAACAGAUAUAUAUGAAGCAAAAAACUUGGGCCCAAAAAACAAGUUUGAAGGUAUAUUUGGGAGUUACCAGUAAUAUAGGUAACUGUUGAAGCUCUAAAUAUAGAAGACAAACUAGAGGAGCUUGUUUCUUGAAGAAUUCUUGUCACACUUGACAUUUUUUACAGAGAUUUCUUAAAACAGGGGCAUAUCUUCUUUGGCUAACAUAUGCAGACUAAAAUGAAAGAGUAUAGUAUAUUAUAAAAUCAAUAAAAGGUAAGAUAAAUUUAGGCCUAAAAAUAAAGAAUAAAUACACUCAGUUGAUUCUGAAGCUCUAAUUUACAGAUGCAAAAUUGUACCAGUACAUUAACUCAUAUGUCAAAACAACAUCUAGAGAAACAAAAAAUGAAAGUAAAAUGGAAAAAGAUAAAAGAAGUGAGGCAAGGAGAAGAGAAUGGACAAAAGGAGAUAGGAAAAACAGGAAUUUUUUUUUUAAGGGCUAAAAUUUUAGUGAAUCAGAUGUGGAAAACAGUUGGAUUAACAUUGAGAUCAAAUGAGAAAGGAGCAAAUAAGGAAAGAGGUAUUACAAACCAAGAGUAAAAAAGGGAAAACAAAAUAACAAAAGCAAAAACUAUUUAAAAAGAAUAAAGGAAGACGUGAUAAUGAAGUAAAUUUAAAAAGUACGGAAUAAUAAAAAGAAAUUGCAAAAAAUAACUUUUGAAAAUAAACAUACUAAUAACUUGACAAUAAAGUGAAAUGUGUAAGACAAACGUAUCUGUGUCAUUAUUUAGGAGUAGUGAAAAGUACUCUUAAAUAAUAAUUUGGUAUCUAGCAGGCCUGGAUUUGAAUCUACUUUAACUUGCUAGCUAUGUGACCUUGGGCAAGCAAAGAAACUCCUCAUAACCAUUGUAAUAAUACCAGCAAAAUGCCUUACACUUACGGCUCAAAAAAUGAAGGAAAUGAGAGAAAAAAGUAUAGAUUACUAUAUGGAAGUCAAAUUUCUAGUGACUUUUCUAAUCCAAACAUGAAUUGUUACAGUACUUGAAAUAAACUUUAUGAGAACUGAGUGACUACAUUGCUUCAGAUAGUUUUAUACUGCUAGGUCAACGCUGCCUGACAGUAAUAAGAAUAGGAUGUGAGAUUCAAUAUGCUCAUUCUAUCUCAAACUCUGUCACACAUACAAUGACUGCUAUUUACCUUCCUCCUGAGCCAUCUGGGAAAAAACCAACCAACCAACCAACCAAACAAAAGAAAAACCCACCAGGUAGGAGUCAGUUAGUUCUGCUAACUAACUAACCAAAAACCUUAAUUGUAUGGCCAUCAGCACCCUAGCCCUUUGUCAUGAAAGCUACCAAUAAGGUGGAAAUUUAAAAUAUGAGAUAUUUUAUUAUACAUGUUUUAUUAAACCCUAUAUGUGCAGAAAUGAUUGUCCAUUUUCCUUCUUAACUUGCUUUUGUAAGACUUAUUAAGUAGAAAAUAUAAAUCUAAAAUAUAUCUCUCUCCACAAAGUUAAUUCAAAUUGUAGAAUUCUUCCAAGUCACAGAUGGAGUUUUCAAGGCUCUGGGUACUUACCUUUGAGUUCCACAUCCUUUAUCUCUGGAGCUCUUAACUGAGGGAACAUGGACCAUUAGGUCAUGAACAGACUUUGUAGUCUUUGAACAGCCUGAAACAGUAUGUGAUACUUGAUGUGCAUGUACACAGGAACAUUUUUCUAGAGUAAUGGCACAUACCUUUCAUCAGAUUUUCAAAGGUUUCUCAAAAUGCUCAAGAACCAUUGUUAGAUAUUUAAAUAACCAGAGUGUACAGUGUCCAAAUAUUUCCAAAUUUUGACACUUGUAAGAUGUCUUAAUUAAAACAAGCCAUGAAGUUCAGCGUCACAAUAACCAGAAAAGCACUUGUGAGAGUAGUUCUAUGUCUUUACUUCCUAGUGGUUUACACACUCUUUAACCCAUAUGGCAAUCUGGCUUCUGUCUCCAGUGCUCUGGAAUUACUUCUGCCUGUAUGAUUAAGUUCCUCAUUGUUAAAUUCGAAAAUACAUUCUUUGGUAUUUAUUUGACCUCUUGGUGGUAAUAUAGCGUAAGAGCACAGACUCUGGAGCCAAACUGCCUAGGUUCAAAUCUUAGCUCUAUUACUUUCUAACUCUGUGACUUUGGGCAAAUGACUUAACUCUCUCAUGCCUCAAAGCAGAAUCCUUUGUAAGGUUUAUUUAUAUAGUGGUGUAAAGAGUACUUACUUCAAAAGCUUUGGUCAGUGUGAGAAAUAAGCUCCUAACAAAGAAAGUGUUAUGUAAUAGUUAUUAUCUGGUACCUCUGAUCACAACAUUUUUGAAAAUCACUUGAAAUCUGCCUAAGUUUCAUUCUGCCUUUGAUGGCUCCUUAUUUUCAUCUCCCUACUUCAGGCUUCCUCCCUAAU